rnacentral:rRNA from 1 species
UACGUAGGUGGCAAGCGUUGUCCGGAUUUAUUGGGUUUAAAGGGCGCGUAGGCGGCCGCCUAAGUCAGACGUGAAAUCCCUCGGCUCAACCGGGGAACUGCGUCUGAUACUGGAUGGCUUGAGAUUGGGAGAGGGAUGCGGAAUUCCAGGUGUAGCGGUGAAAUGCGUAGAUAUCUGGAGGAACACCGGUGGCGAAGGCGGCAUCCUGGACCAACACUGACACUGAGGAGCGAAAGCCAGGGGAGCAAACGGG